rnacentral:miRNA from 1 species
UUAAAUAACCGAUCUUAAAAGUACUUUUAAGAUCGGUUAAAUAUUAACCGAUCUUAAAAGUGCUACUUUUAAAAUCGGUUAUUUAA